GGUGAAGCCGAGUUUUGUCAAUCCCAUAAAUCUGGUUCAGUUCGGAUCGCAGUCUGCAACUCGACUGCGUGAAGCUGGAAUCGCUAGUAAUCGCGGAUCAGCAUGCCGCGGUGAAUACGUUCCCGGGCCUUGUACACACCGCCCGUCACACCACGAGAGUUUGCAACACCCGAAGUCGGUGAGGUAACCUUUAUGGAGCCAGCCGCCGAAGGUGGGGCAGAUGAUUGGGGGGG
rnacentral:rRNA from 1 species